rnacentral:rRNA from 1 species
GAUGAACGCUGGCGGCGUGCCUAAUACAUGCAAGUCGAGCGAACAGACGAGGAGCUUGCUCCUCUGACGUUAGCGGCGGACGGGUGAGUAACACGUGGAUAACCUACCUAUAAGACUGGGAUAACUUCGGGAAACCGGAGCUAAUACCGGAUAAUAUAUUGAACCGCAUGGUUCAAUAGUGAAAGACGGUUUUGCUGUCACUUAUAGAUGGAUCCGCGCCGCAUUAGCUAGUUGGUAAGGUAACGGCUUACCAAGGCAACGAUGCGUAGCCGACCUGAGAGGGGGACCGGCCCCCCGGAACCUAGGACCCGGCCCAACUCCCACCGGGGGGCAGAGGAGGGGAUUCUUCCGAUGUGGGGCAAGUCCGUCCGGGGCACCCCCGGGGAGGUGAUAAAGUUUUUGGGUCCGAAAAACUCUUUUUUUGGGAAAAAAAAAAUGUGUAGAUAACUAUCCCCGUCUGACGCUGUCCAAACAAGAAGGCCCCGGCAACCAUCGU